rnacentral:rRNA from 1 species
UAGGAAUAUGCCUUAAAGAGGGGGACAACUUGGGGAAACUCAAGCUAAUACCGCAUAAUCUCUUAGGAGUAAAGCUGGGGACCUUCGGGCCUGGCGCUUUAAGAAUAGCCUGCGUCCGAUUAGCUAGUUGGUAGGGUAAAGGCCUACCAAGGCGACGAUCGGUAGCUGGUCUGAGAGGAUGGCCAGCCACACUGGAACUGAGACACGGUCCAGACUCCUACGGGAGGCAG